rnacentral:misc_RNA from 1 species
UUACGAUACUGAUUAUUGCUAUCUUAAUACGUGUCAUUUCUAAAGUGUACAACUAAAUAGGAAAAAAAAAGAAGACAAGUUUGUAUAGAUAGAAUUUUUCCAAACAACUCCAAGCAAAUAUACUAUUUCCCAGUAGAAUUGCGAGUAGAAGAUCCUCCUCUGCCUCCGCCUCCGCCUCUGCCUCUGCCUCUGUUAUUGUUUCCCCUUCCUCUUCCUCCGGUAGAUCCUUUUUUCGUAUUUCCUGGACCUGGAGUCGCCCUUGUUGGUGUUCCUGAAGAACCACUAACAGACCAGCGUCUACUUAUCGCAUUACAAAUUUCGCUUGCUAUCGGAACAACACUCGUCACAGUAUUUGCUAUAUCAUGGAUCAUCUCCAGAGUACUCUUACCAGUAUUACUAGUACUGUUUUCUCCUCUGGAUGGAGGUGGAG